rnacentral:rRNA from 1 species
CACGUAGGGCGCAAGCGUUGUCCGGAUUUAUUGGGCGUAAAGAGCGUGUAGGCGGUUUGGUAGGUCCGUUGUGAAAACUCGAGGCUCAACCUCGAGACGCCGAUGGAAACCAUCAGACUAGAGUCCGGAAGAGGAGAGUGGAAUUCCUGGUGUAGCGGUGAAAUGCGCAGAUAUCAGGAAGAACACCCGUGGCUAAGGCGGGUCUCUGGGCAGUAACUGACGUGAGGAGCGAAAAGCGUGGGGGAGCAAACAGG